GGCACCAUGAACCCCGAGAAAUUGAAAGAAAAAUCUAUCAAUUCAGUUUUCUAUUAGGUUCUAUUGAAAUGUGUUUUCAUAUCUGUACUGAGCCAUGGUUCUAUUUUUACUGCUGAUUUCAUAAGUAGGACCCGGAUGAAUAGUGAAGGUCUGUGUAUAGUGUCUGUGAAAUACUAAUCCUAGGAAGUCUCGGCUCUAUAUAUGCAGUAACAUUGAGGUAUUAUAAGUAUAAUAAACAAAUGCUUUCACCAACUAUAUGUUCUAUUCACUUAUAAUGACUCUAUUUUGUUAUAAUGUACGUUAACAACGAAAUGGAUAAAGUACAGUUCAGACGCAGUCUAGGUACGCUAAGUAUUUUUGGACAGUCAUAUCCAUAUCAGACAUUUCAAUUGAAUCUCAUCAGUAUACAUCAUUCUUUUAAAUGCCUAAGUUUUUGAGUUACAAAAACAAAAAAAAAAUACUUCAAUUGAGACAGAUGUACGUAUUCAUUCAGUGUUCUAGACUAGUUGAUGAGAUGAAGAGAUUAGGUUUAGAGACACGAGCUUGGAAUACAUUCUUUUCAAGGACAGAUUGGGAUGAAAAGCUUUUCUGGAUUUCAAUACAAAAUACAACAAACAAUUGAAUUAUAAGAAAAGAAAACUGUAUAGAAUGAAUUGUGUUCAUAUAGUUGCACCUACAUAGUCUUGGUUGGACUAACUGUCUGGAGCUGCAACCAAACAUUUUCUUGGACUAGCUGUCUGGAGCGACAAACCUGAACAUCAGCAUACAGGAGACAAACUGAAUCUCUCACAGACAUACAGGAGACUAACUCACAGCAAAUGGUUUCCGUAAAAGACAGCUGGAGAGUUCAAAGACCAUGGAACCAAAGACAGCCAACAAAAUACAGCCAAAAGAGAAUGUAAUUAUACUCUCUGCAGACAAUAGCUUUUUCUGCGUGUUAAUAACAAAAUAUAUAUGACAUGUGGUUCAACGUACACGCAUAAAGGUUUUACAAUCUCCUUCAACGGCAAAUAAAGGCAAAAAAUCCUUUCUCAUAUAUUUAUAUAUAUAUAUAUAUAUAUAUAUAUAUAUAUAUAUAUAUAUAUAUAUAUAUAUAUGUAGAGAUAGAUAGAUAGAUUAAUAGAUAUAGUAGAUAGAUAGAUAGAUAGAUAAAGAUAGAUGGAUAGAUAGAUAGAUAGAUAGAUAGAUAGAUAGAUAGAUAGAUAGAUAGAUAGAUAGAUAGAUAGAUAGAUAGAUAGAUAGAUAUAGAUAGAUAGAUAGAUAGAUAAAUAUGGAUGGAUAGAAAGAUAUAGAUAGAUAGAUAGAUAGAUAGAUAGAUAGAUAGAUAGAUAGAUAGAUAGAUAGAUAGAUAGAUAGAUAGAUAGAUAGAUAGAUAGAUAGAUAGAUAUAGAUAGAUAGACAGAUUGACAGAUAGAUAGAGAUAGCUCGAUAGAUAGAUAGACAGACAGACAGAUAGAUAGAUAGAUAGAUAGAUAGAUAGAUAGAUAGAUAGAUAGAUAGAUAGAUAGAUAGAUAGAUAGAUAGACAGACAGACAGACAGACAGACAGACAGACAGACAGACAGUCAGAUAGAUAGAUAGAUAGAUAGAUAGAUAGGUAGAUAGAUAGAUUAGAUAGAUAGAUCCAUUAUCCAUUCCAAAACAGUCCUCUCUCCACAUCUCAAAAGUUCUGUACCUGAUUUAGUUUUGCCCACUACCCACUACCCACCACCCACCACCAAUUGAAUUACAUUUUAAUUAAAAAGCUUUCGACUGAAAUCAUUAAAGUAAGAUUUUUUAACAUCUGUUCGGUAUUGACAAAGGGAAAUACAUGCUACUUAUUAUUAUGUGGCUGCAUAUAUGGAGUUAUUCUCCUUUUUACGUUUUGUACACGUUAUUUCUCCCACUGCCGAUUCAAUGAUCAAGUUGAAAUUUUUCAGAAUUAUUUAUUGUCGAUGACAAUACAUGAAUCAAUAAAAACGUUAAUCAAUUACUGGUAGUUAAUUUUUUUUUAUAUAGAAAAUGGAGCUUAUUACUAUGCUAUAAACUAAGAAUGCCGACUUAUUUGUUUCAUAAUGCCGUUAUAUAUGUUGUUGUUUUUUAAACAAGGAGAAAGUUUCUCCUUCUCUCAACAAAUGUCUAUGUAUGGGUGUAUGCGGUAUCUAGGAGGGGUAGCACCUCUAGUGGACAGGCAGUCGUACCCUCUUUUUGAGGGUAGCUUGGCUCACUCUUGGUCCCCACUUGGUACCCAACUCUCACCUGUGGCUCCCAGAAGCUGUAGCAUGCGCAGCGGCCACACCCCGGAAACGGCUUUGACUGGCCGGCUAAACCAGGUAGAAGGUAUCUGACGUGUCCAUGGCACUCAGUACACUGAGGUUCUGUCAAACCUAGCAUGUGAAGUCUGGAUUUGGCGGCCUGUGCGUAGCGUCACAAAACUAGUCUAAUCGGACAGAAUGGCAAGUACCAGCACAGUGCUGUGGAGUACUCAAGAGCAGGACAAGACACAAAGAAAGUCUCUGGUCAUCCACUGCACCCAAACUUGUCUCCGGACGUCUUGACCAAAUCUUGCUUCCGGAAAAGGACGGGCUUUAGGGCGAGAGAGUGAGGUCGACAUGUUGCGCGAAUCCUCCUCACUUUAAUCCAAA